GAGGUUGUAAUCAGGGUUACCAACUUACAUUUUCAGUAAUAUAUGUUAAUAGUGCUGGCAUGUCGGAAACCCGUUAGUUAGCCUAAAAGAGUAGCCCUGACUUUUUAUCUGUCCAACCAGGACUGCCUUUUCGAUCAAACCUAGCUUUUUGCAUUGAAUUGGAUCGGCUGGCACUUUACUUUCCAAGUGUAUCAUUGCCAAUGCCAACCAAGGUCCUAGAAGAUAGGGAUGGGCACCUCAGAAAUUAAACCAACCCAGGGGAAAAGGCGACGUCAUAGCGGAUCGAAGAAGGCUUGCACAGAGCGAAAACAUUGCUCGAAAACGGGUUGUUCAAAUAAGAACCCAAAUUGUGCGUGGUUGACCUAGUGGUGGAUAGGAGUACAAUAUUGCCUUUCACCCUUGAGGCAACCAUAUUCACUAUUUCUCCUUUUUUGUCAAUGAUAUGGAUGGACCAAACUUGGACCAAACCAAGUUGUGCUUGACCAAAGAAAGGGUACACUAAUAGGCUUUUUGAGUGGUAUCCACAAUACCAAUACGCUAUUUUUUGGAUACCAUAACUUGUAACAAGCAAUUUCAAUAUAAAAAGACAAAGAAAACAGCUUCUAAUCAAAUCAUUCAUUGUAUCUACUCAAUUUUGAAAUUUAGAUAAAUACUUAUAACAUUAUGUUGGUAGAUACUCCUUUUGUAAACUCUUUGUUGUAAUUCAAUAGAAUUUUUAGGAAGAUUACAUUUACCAUUGUUCUUGCAAUUGAUAUGUUUUAUUGCCAUAUGUUUUCUACUUCUUAAACCAUUGGUUGCUCAUGUGUUUCUUUUUCUUUCCCGUUUUUUCUCUUCUCUCUUCGUUUUUUUUCAUUUGUGGCAUUACUCAAUUAAACACAAUGUUAGCAAUAAACAAUGAAACAAUUUAAAAGGAAACAGAGGUUUGGUACAGAGAUAAUCAUGAAUGUUUUUUCUGCAUUCAAAACUGUUGAAAUCUUGUGAAGAUAGAUACAAACAAAAGUGAUGACAUUUCUUAUGAAUGAUAUGAUUGUUAAGUGAAAUAAGGAUGAUGAGUAAAGACUUUUAUAUUGUUUACUUCUUGUCACCGGAUCUUGUCAUUUUGGGACAUUUUAAACAUUCAGGUGUUUUUAACCAAGUUUCCCCAAAAAAAUACAGAUUUGGUUUCAAAUAAUCCAAAAAUUGGACAUUUUUCUUGCAAAGUUAUGCACCAAAGACCAUGAAUAAUGCAUUUUGGUUUACCUCUCAUACUUUAAAACUUCAAGGGGUCAUUUUUUAUGUGCCUUUUUGCCUAGGAAACUCUGCCCUGUCUUCAUUGUUGCAAUUUUUUGUUGCCAUCCUGAUCUUAACAAAGACGUGGUGUAGUGGUUAGCGCAGUUUCCUAACAUGAGAGAGAUCCCUGGUUCCAUUCUGCUCCCCAACCUUUCUCAAAGAAACUUUUAGACGCUAACCGCGCCCACAGACAGAGAACCAGAACUGAUGUGGACAUGACGAGGCCUAUCAGAGCAAUAUGUAAGCACGAUGUGAUGGCUGGCUUUGCUGGCCAGGCGCAGCUUAUCCCUCUGACCCUACCACCCAAAUACAAAACAAAAUCGUUUAUGAACUUGGACUAAAUCAAUAUCAAACCUUAGCAUUGCCAAAUCUUAGCAUCCAAAUCUUGGCUGAGUUUAUUCAUCAAGAUAUUUGCCAAGCAAAUGAAAGGGCAAAAUGUGAAAACCACUCUCUUUGUACAGGUUAAAAAACUAGCUCAUACUUUGAACUUGAUCAUUCAUUGAAAAUGGCCAAGUGGCAAAAUAUAUUAUACCUCCAGAUUUAAAAAAAAAGCAGUUGAUAAGCCUUCCAAAAAAAAAAUGAAAGUAACUAUCUCAUGGUAUCUGAAAUUUAGACCCUUGGGAGGGAGACAUUUUCAAGAAGUUUGGAUAAUGGCUUAAGUAAGGCUGGCAACAGCUAAUUUGAAAUUUAGUGACACAGUUACAUCAAUAUAAAAGUGCAAAAAAAGAAUCCAUCUAAUACACCCUCUUUUCAACACAACUUGCCCUUUACUUUCAGUCAGUUUUCAAUAGUAAGACAGUUUUGUUGGAUAAGGUAUUGAAAACUACAUUAUGUAAUAACUAGAGCCACUCUAUGAUGGCUCUAGUAAUAACAAAGUUUUUAUGAUCAAUUCUUCAAUUGAGCCAAAACAGAGUUGUGGACAGUCUCAAUUUUCACAUAUACUAUUGAGAUUUCUUGGGAAAAACAAAAAUGCCAAUUUAUAAUUUCGGCGAAUCAAAUCUUUUCAAUUUUAUUUAACUAUGGUCAUUGCCUUUUUAAUAUUUUGCCUUUUUGAAGUAAAUAUUAUUUCAAUAUUUUUUUCUCUUAAAGUGGAGAGGUAUCCAAGUUUCUAGUGAUGAGAGUUCUAAUUCAGCAAUUAGUAGUAAUGCCACCUCACAAACAACUGAAUUGAUUUUUUUUCCAAGGAAUCCAGUCCAAUAUCUUAACCAAUACUCUAUCUUCAAACUCGAUGCAUGAGUUGUUCAAACCAGAAACAACUUUAAUGGCAUUGUUGUCGCAGCCUAUCACGCUAUAGAACCAUCAAUUGGAGUUAUGUGAUCAAAUGAAUUAUCAAAAUUAAAUGAAUGGUACCACAAAACUUGGAGAGUAAAGGCAUUAUCCAUAGACCACUGAAAAUUAUGGACGUAACUCGAUGACCAAGAUCAGGGCUGCACCAUCAGUCUUGCCAUGUUGCAGGUUCGCUCUGUCAAUAGGCACCUUCAAGCUACAGAUGACUGAUGACGUCAUCUUAAAAAGGAAAGUGAACAAUGUCGCCUAUGCCACUAGUCAUUACUGUUUAGUGGUUCUGGGCCAUCAUGAUCAAAACUCCAAAGAAUAAUCCACAAUGGAAUCUAUGGAUUGAAGCUGUUCUGCCAUUACACUCAACAUUCAAGAGUUCUGGAAGGAUGGAUGAAUCGCAUCCACGGGAGUCUCUUACUAUCAGUGGACUCAGGCAAAUUUUAUUCAGAGGCCAUUGCAGUGGCCAACUCUUCUUAAAGAUGAUGUUCACCCACCGUUUGAGCGCUUUUCUGGAUUGGCUGAGGAUUGGGAUCUCCUUUACAAAUUCCAAUUUGAUUUCCAGAGCAGCCGCUCUACCACCUCUGCAGUUACUCUCUUCUAUGAAAUUGUCCAAUCUUUGUGGAUCUCUCCUCAAGCACCAUCAACCCAACUUUCCUCCACCAAUCAUCUCAAAUCAUCAAUAGUCAAAGCUAGGGCCAUGAUUGAAAACAUUUCCAAUAGACUUCCCAUCAAGAAUCUUCCCUCUCUAAUAGUUCUUCAACUCUUCUGGACCUACAUCAACCCAAUUCUCCUCUACUGCCUUCUGCCCAAUCCGCCCUCAAAUCCGCCGAUGCCACCUUCACCAAAUUCCUCUAACGAUUUCUGUGCGUUCCCCAAUAUGCCAAAAAUGCAUGGAGGUAUUUUUACAACCAAAAAUUGGGCUGGCCAUGUUAGUGUCCCAGUAUUGGGAACCUGACCUUUCUGGAGGUGAUGUCCGGACUCAAGUUGUCCUUCUCGGUCAAGGACAUACUAACACCCUACUGUCCUUGGCCUGACAUCCCUUUGGAAUAUUGGCGGUCACUCAUGUUUUUCCGGCUCCGGUCCAAAUGUCAUCAACGGUGUGAGCUGAAACAGGAUCUGUUCAAUCUGACCCACCCAAUCUUCUGCAGUAAUCAAGAUUUUCAUCACUUGUCUCUACCCAACUGUUUAUGUACUGGCUGUGAUUCUCCUCUUCACUUUUUUCAUGUAGACUAUACUUGAAGUAUGGAACCCUCCUAACAGGGAAUAUUGGCCGUAUAGAGAAGGUGCAAAGAAGAAUCCCCAAGUGGCACAAUUCUUAUCCAGUACAGAAUAUCUUCACUCUCUUCAAACAUUAAAAGAGAGACAUAUUUUCUUGGACUUCCCUCUUAUGUUGAAGGUGUGCUUUCAACUGUUAACAAUAUCACUUCUUUGGGAUCACCUAUUGUUGUGAUCAAUUUCUUAGCUCGUGAAGGAUCAGAUUUGAUGAAGAUGUGCAAAUUAGAAAAUGGGCCUUUUUUGAAAUUAAAUGUAAUCUUGUACAUGUUACCAUUCAUUUUUAUGCGUUCUGCUUGUAUGUGGAACACUUAUACUUGAAACAUUCUUGAUCAGUGAGUGCGUUUAAAAAAACUUUUUUCCUAGCAUGGUUCCAAAUUAUUAGUCCAUUAUUAAACCCUUCUGUUAUCAUCAAUUCGAUGUUUGAGUAGUACACACAAUAAACAAUUCUAUCUAGUCA